rnacentral:rRNA from 1 species
GGUUAAGCGAAUAAGCGUACACGGUGGAUGCCUAGGCAAUCAGAGGCGAUGAAGGACGUGCUAAUCUGCGAAAAGCGUCGGUAAGGUGAUAUGAACCGUUAUACCCGACGAUAUCCGAAUGGGGAAACCCAGUAUCCAAUGGAUACUAUCAUUAACUGAAUCCAUAGGUUAAUGAGGCGAACCGGGAGAACUGAAACAUCUCAGUACCCCGAGGAAAAGAAAUCAACCGAGAUUCCCCUAGUAGCGGCGAGCGAACGGGGAGCAGCCCAGAGUCUUAAUCAAUAGCAGUGUCAGGAGAACGGUCUGGAAAGUCCGGCAGUAAAGGGUGAUAGCCCCGUAUCUGAAGAUGCUGUUGUUGUGAACUCGACGAGUAGGGCGGGACACGUGUUAUCCUGUCUGAAUAUGGGGGGACCAUCCUCCAAGGCUAAAUACUCCUGAUUGACCGAUAGUGAACCAGUACCGUGAGGGAAAGGCGAAAAGAACCCCGGCGAGGGGAGUGAAAAAGAACCUGAAACCGUGUACGUACAAGCAGUAGGAGCCUCUUUAUGGGGUGACUGCGUACCUUUUGUAUAAUGGGUCAGCGACUUAUAUUCUGUAGCGAGGUUAACCGUAUAGGGGAGCCGUAGGGAAACCGAGUCUUAACUGGGCGAAUGAGUUGCAGGGUAUAGACCCGAAACCCGGUGAUCUAUCCAUGGGCAGGUUGAAGGUUGGGUAACACUAACUGGAGGACCGAACCGACUAAUGUUGAAAAAUUAGCGGAUGACUUGUGGAUGGGGGUGAAAGGCCAAUCAAACCGGGAGAUAGCUGGUUCUCCCCGAAAGCUAUUUAGGUAGCGCCUCGUGAA